GAUGAACGCUGGCGGCGUGCCUAAUACAUGCAAGUCGAGCGAACAGACGAGGAGCUUGCUCCUCUGACGUUAGCGGCGGACGGGUGAGUAACACGUGGAUAACCUACCUAUAAGACUGGGAUAACUUCGGGAAACCGGAGCUAAUACCGGAUAAUAUAUUGAACCGCAUGGUUCAAUAGUUAAAGACGGUUUUGCUGUCACUUAUAGAUGGAUCCGCGCCGCAUUAGCUAGUUGGUAAGGUAACGGCUUACCAAGGCAACGAUGCGUAGCCGAUCUGAGAGGAUGAUCGGCCACACUGGAACUGAGACACGGUCCAGACUCCUACGGGAGGCAGCAGUAGGGAAUCUUCCGCAAUGGGCGAAAGCCUGACGGAGCAACGCCGCGUGAGUGAUGAAGGUCUUCGGAUCGUAAAACUCUGUUAUUAGGGAAGAAAAAAUGUGUAAGUAACUAUGCACGUCUUGACGGUACCUAAUCAGAAAGCCACGGCUAACUACGUG
rnacentral:rRNA from 1 species